UAAGUUCAUAUAUGCAACAGUCAUGUCUA
rnacentral:piRNA from 1 species